rnacentral:guide_RNA from 1 species
GCAUACAACACACGUCGAUUAUUGGAACU